UACAGAGGGGGCUAGCGUUGUUCGGAAUUACUGGGCGUAAAGGGCGCGUAGGUGGCCUGUUAAGUCGAACGUGAAAUCCCCGGGCUCAACCCGGGAACUGCGUCCGAGACUGGCAGGCUCGAAUCCGGGAGAGGGAUGUGGAAUUCCAGGUGUAGCGGUGAAAUGCGUAGAUAUUGGGAAGAACACCGAUGGCGAAGGCAGCCAUCUGGACCGACACUGACGCUGAGGCGCGAAAGCGUGGGGAGCAAACAGG
rnacentral:rRNA from 1 species